rnacentral:lncRNA from 1 species
CUUCUUAUGCCACAUCAGGAUGUUACCUAUACACUGGUAAACAGAUCACAUCCUGAGAUUUAAACCAUGUCAAAAACAAGAGAUUUACCCAAACUUGCAUACCUUUUAAUGCAUGAUCUGUGCACAGAGACAUAUUGUGCUGGGUUUUUUGUAUGUUUACUCUGUUCUGCUCUGGCCAGUAGAAAGACAAGCAGCACCAUCAAUGUUAUUGGAGGACAAACUGGUACCAUCAGCCGGGUAGAGGAACGGAGACGUCACAAUAUAGAAGGAAAUAACAUCCAGGUGCUUUCCGAGCCGUCUGAUGCUGAGCAUUCUGCCACUAAGAUGCCCUCCUUCUUCCCCCCCCACCUCUUUUCCCGCCUCCACCCUACAAUGUUAACUACGCCCCUCCCAUUCCUCCACCAUGCUACCCUCCUGGAGCACCCUCUCCCUCUCUGAUCC